rnacentral:ribozyme from 1 species
UAGCCAUCUUGGCUCAAGAUAAUUUCUACAUAUGU